rnacentral:lncRNA from 1 species
AUCACUGCAGAUGGUGAUUACAGCCAUGAAAUUAAAAGAUGCUUACUCUUACUGCUUGGUGAAGUUUAAAAAAUUUUGUCUGCCACAUUACCCACAAUGAUUAUUCUUGUCUUUUUCUGUUUUCCAUAAGCCCUCAACCAGCCUGCUAUCCCUGCAACCACAGUAAGAUUCCAGCUGCCCUCUCCACUCUUUAUUGAGAGAUGACCUUGCCUUUUAUAUCCCGAGGAAAAAUAGAAAUGGUUUCUCUUCCUGGUGUGAACUAUUUGAAUGAAGUGGGAGCCCACCUUUUAAGACUCUUCUAUACAUUCACUUUCUUUCCUGUCUCCUGGAGGAUCUUAUUUCCCUCAUUACUCUGCCCUACUCUGAGGUAUCUGGUCUUUGUCCUUCUUGGCAUGUUUCCCUCUGCCAUCAAACAUGUGAGUCUUCCUACAAAUUGUUGGAGGGAAGAGACAGAAAGAUCCUAACAACAAGAACAAGCACAGUUUUCCUCUGACAGUACAUAAUUCUUUAGUUAUAGUCUUCUCUCUUACAAUAAAUGUACACUUGCUGGCAUCUUUUCAGGACUAUUUCUGCUAACAGUUUGCUACUCAGAGUUUGAAAGUCACAGAGGCGAUUGUUACCAUAUUAAGUUCAGCAGUGCUGCACAUCCUUAGUUUUCUUGUAUCUCUCAUUUUCCAUUNNNNNNNNNNNNNNNNNNNNNNNNNNNNNUCCUUGGCUCUUUGUUCUUUUGCUCUAUACAAGGGGUCCCUGACUUCCAGGACCCAAUGCCUGACACUCCGAGGUGUAGCUGAUGGGCUAAUAAUGGAAAUGCAGUGCACAAUAAAUGUAAUGCCCUUGAAUCACCCCCAAACCAUCCCCCUACACCCCAGUCUGGAAAAAAUUGUCUCCCAUGAUACCGAUCCCUGGUGCCACAAAAAGGGUUGGGGACCCCUGCUUCACGUUGUUUUUUUACAGUAGACCGAUAUUAGUCUCACAUAUUUAAUUUACUUUGAAGCUGAAGAUUCUCAAAUUUGUCGAGUCCUGACUGACCUAAUAUCUCAUGCCGUCUUUCUCAUUGCCUUUGAGGCAUGCGGUCGUUUCUCAUUCAGUUCAAAUGCAGCAUAUGUAAAAUCUCCCUGCUUCAUUCCGCAUGUUUAACUAGUCACCAUUCAGUAAACGUGAGGGCCUUUUUUUUUAAACCUGGCUACAAAUUCACUCAGUUCUUCUCUUGACGUCUGUUUUUAAUUUCUCCUUUUUCAUCCCACCUGUUUUAGGCCCUCAGUACCUCGGGUUUCCCUUACGACAACAUCCCAGCAGCUGCUGCUGCUAACUUACUUCAGUCGUGUCCAACUCUGUGCGACCCCACAGACGGCAGCCCACC